rnacentral:rRNA from 1 species
AGCUCCAGUAGCGUAUAUUAAAGUUGUUGCAGUUAAAAAGCUCGUAGUUGGAUUUCUGGCUUGGCCUAUCUGCUGUCGGACUAACUUGUUCGUGCAAAAGUUGUGUCAUGCCAUCCUUCCAGAAAACGCCAGUACUCUUCACUGAGCCGCCUGGUGCGAUUUGGAUCUUUUACUUUGAAGAAAUUAGAGUGUUCAAAGCAGGCUUGCGCUAUUGAAUACAUUAGCAUGGAAUAAUAAUUUAGGACUUUGGUUCUAUUUUUGUUGGUUUCUAGGACUAAAGUAAUGAUUGAUAGGGAUAGUUGGGGGUGCUAGUAUUCAGCGGCCAGAGGUGAAAUUCUUAGAUUCGCUGAAGACUAACUUAUGCGAAAGCAUUCACCAAGGAUGUCUUCUUUAAUCAAGA